UACGUAGGGUGCAAGCGUUGUUCGGAAUUACUGGGCGUAAAGGGCUCGUAGGUGGCCAACUAAGUCAGACGUGAAAUCCCUCGGCUUAACCGGGGAACUGCGUCUGAUACUGGAUGGCUUGAGAUUGGGAGAGGGAUGCGGAAUUCCAGGUGUAGCGGUGAAAUGCGUAGAUAUCUGGAGGAACACCGGUGGCGAAGGCGGCAUCCUGGACCAACACUGACACUGAGGAGCGAAAGCCAGGGGAGCAAACGGG
rnacentral:rRNA from 1 species